CGAGGCGACCGGAUGGUCACGCGCUGUCGGGGCAACCCGGCGGCGUGAGGAAAGUCCGAGCUCCACAGCGCAGGGUAGCGGGUAACGCCCGCCCGCCGCGAGGCGAGGACCAGCGCCACAGUGACGAUGCCGGGUCGGGCCUUCGGGCCCGGCCAGGGAGUGAAACGAGGCAAGCUCUACCCGGAGCAAGGCCAAGUAGGAGGGCGCAACCCGGUUCGCCGGGGGAGAGGCGCGCUGCCCAGCCCUCGGGUCGGCCGCACGAGCCGGCGGGUGACCGCCGGCCUCAGAUGGAUGGCCAUCCCCGCGAGCGAUCGCGGGACAGAACUCGGCUUACAGGUCGCCUCGCUGG
rnacentral:RNase_P_RNA from 2 species